GAAUCUGUUUUUUCCAUCUUUUUAACAAACAAUCCACUUAGUGUUAAUUGGUGUGUGUUGCAGGUGCUGGCAAUCUUAUUUUAUCAUCCCUCUUCAAAAGCAGACUCCUAGCGCUUUGCCAAAAUUACUAAAACCAACUCCAGCUGCAGUGGAGCCUCACAUUUACUGGCACCAGACGGAUCUCAUACGUGAAGCCAAGGAGGCCGGCCAACUCUUUCAGCAAGUCGAUGCAGAAUCCUUCAAAACGGUCGUUUCCAACAAGCGCCCUGUCAGACUUCUUAAGCAUGACAUAUGGCUCCUCCUGCAGAGACCCAAAAGAUCAAAUGAGAAGCAAUGAGGCACUAACUGGAAGGAUUCUUGUGCCGGAUUGGGACUUGAAUGUAAGAGCAUUGAUCAGCACUGCGGUACGGCCACUUGCAACACAGAGGUCAGUGUCAUGCCUCCAAAACAGCUCUGAUCAACUGCAAUGAAAAGAGAUGUGCUGGAGCAUACGAGUUGUCAGUUUAAGCCUCUUUGGAUUGGGCCUACUUCCCACAGAUGCCAUCAAGGCAAGGCAAGGCAAGGCAAGUUUAUUUGUAUAGCACAUUUCAUGUACAGAG